GAUGAACGCUGGCGGCGUGCCUAAUACAUGCAAGUCGAGCGAACGGACGAGAAGCUUGCUUUUCUUAUGUUAGCGGCGGACGGGUGAGUAACACGUGGAUAACCUACCUAUAAGACUGGGAUAACUUCGGGAAACCGGAGCUAAUACCGGAUAAUAUUUUGAACCGCAUGGUUCAAAAGUGAAAGACGGUCUUGCUGUCACUUAUAGAUGGAUCCGCGCUGCAUUAGCUAGUUGGUAAGGUAACGGCUUACCAAGGCAACGAUGCAUAGCCGACCUGAGAGGGUGAUCGGCCACACUGGAACGGAGACACGGUCCAGACUCCUACGGGAGGCAGCAGUAGGGUAUCUUCCGCAAUGGGCGAAAGCCUGACGGAGCAACGCCGCGUGAGUGAUGAAGGUCUUCGGAUCGUAAAACUCUGUUAUUAGGGAAGAACAUAUGUGUAAGUAACUGUGCACAUCUUGACGGUACCUAAUCAGAAAGCCACGGCUAACUACGUG
rnacentral:rRNA from 1 species